UACGUAGGUGGCAAGCGUUGUCCGGAUUUAUUGGGUUUAAAGGGUGCGUAGGUGGUCAAUUAAGUCAGUGCUGAAAUAUCCUGGCUUAACCGGGAGGGUGGCAUUGAUACUGAUUGACUUGAGUAGAGUUGAGGUAGGCGGAAUUGACGGUGUAGCGGUGAAAUGCUUAGAUAUCGUCAAGAACACCGAUAGCGAAGGCAGCUUACUAAGCUCAAACUGACACUGAUGCACGAAAGUGUGGGGAUCAAACAGG
rnacentral:rRNA from 1 species